rnacentral:rRNA from 1 species
AGAGUUUGAUCAUGGCUCAGGAUGAACGCUGGCGGCGUGCUUAACACAUGCAAGUCGAACGAAGCACACUUUCGGGUGUGCUUAGUGGCGGACGGGUGAGUAACGCGUGGGUAACCUGCCUUAUACAGGGGGAUAACAGCUGGAAACGGCUGCUAAUACCGCAUAAGCGCACAGUAUCGCAUGAUACAGUGUGAAAAUAUUUAUAGGUAUAAGAUGGACCCGCGUCUGAUUAGCUAGUUGGUGAGGUAAUGGCUCACCAAGGCGACGAUCAGUAGCCGGCUUGAGAGAGUGAACGGCCACAUUGGGACUGAGACACGGCCCAAACUCCUACGGGAGGCAGCAGUGGGGAAUAUUGCACAAUGGGGGAAACCCUGAUGCAGCGACGCCGCGUGAGUGAAGAAGUAUUUCGGUAUGUAAAGCUCUAUCAGCAGGGACGAUAAUGACGGUACCUGACUAAGAAGCCCCGGCUAACUACGUGCCAGCAGCCGCGGUAAUACGUAGGGGGCAAGCGUUAUCCGGAUUUACUGGGUGUAAAGGGAGCGUAGGUGGUUCGAUAAGUCAGAUGUGAAAGCCCGGGGCUCAACCCCGGGACUGCAUUUGAAACUAUCGAACUAGAGUGCAGGAGAGGUAGGUGGAAUUCCUAGUGUAGCGGUGAAAUGCGUAGAUAUUAGGAGGAACACCAGUGGCGAAGGCGGCUUACUGGACUGUAACUGACACUGAGGCUCGAAAGCGUGGGGAGCAAACAGGAUUAGAUACCUUGGUAGUCCACGCCGUAAACGAUGAAUACUANGUGUCGGGGCCAUCCGCUUCGGUGCCGCAGCAAACGCAAUAAGUAUUCCACCUGGGGAGUACGUUCGCAAGAAUGAA